rnacentral:rRNA from 9 species
ACGGGUGAGUAACACGUGGGAACGUGCCCUUUGGUUCGGAACAACUCAGGGAAACUUGAGCUAAUACCGGAUGUGCCCUUCGGGGGAAAGAUUUAUCGCCAUUGGAGCGGCCCGCGUCUGAUUAGCUAGUUGGUGAGGUAAAGGCUCACCAAGGCGACGAUCAGUAGCUGGUCUGAGAGGAUGAUCAGCCACAUUGGGACUGAGACACGGCCCAAACUCCUACGGGAGGCAGCAGUGGGGAAUCUUGCGCAAUGGGCGAAAGCCUGACGCAGCCAUGCCGCGUGAAUGAUGAAGGUCUUAGGAUUGUAAAAUUCUUUCACCGGGGACGAUAAUGACGGUACCCGGAGAAGAAGCCCCGGCUAACUUCGUGCCAGCAGCCGCGGUAAUACGAAGGGGGCUAGCGUUGCUCGGAAUUACUGGGCGUAAAGGGAGCGUAGGCGGACUGUUAAGUUAGAGGUGAAAGCCCAGGGCUCAACCUUGGAAUUGCCUUUGAUACUGGCAGUCUUGAGUACGGAAGAGGUAUGUGGAACUCCGAGUGUAGAGGUGAAAUUCGUAGA